GACGAACGCUGGCGGCGUGCUUAACACAUGCAAGUCGAACGGUGAAAGCGGAGCUUGCUCCGCUGGAUCAGUGGCGAACGGGUGAGUAACACGUGGGCAACCUGCCCCUCACUUCGGGAUAACUCCGGGAAACCGGGGCUAAUACCGGAUAUGACCUCCUUGGGCAUCCUUGGAGGUGGAAAGUUUUUCGGUGAGGGAUGGGCCCGCGGCCUAUCAGCUUGUUGGUGAGGUAGUGGCUCACCAAGGCGACGACGGGUAGCUGGUCUGAGAGGACGAUCAGCCACACUGGGACUGAGACACGGCCCAGACUCCUACGGGAGGCUGCAGUGGGGAAUCUUGCGCAAUGAGCGACAGCUUGACGCAGCAACGCCGCGUGGGGGAAGAAGGCUUUCGGGUCGUAAACCCCUUUCAGUUAGGACGAAGCUUUAUUGGUUAAUAACCAAUUGGAGUGACGGUACUUUCAGAAGAAGCCCCGGCUAAC
rnacentral:rRNA from 1 species